GAUGAACGCUGGCGGCGUGCCUAAUACAUGCAAGUCGAGCGAACAGACGAGGAGCUUGCUCCUCUGACGUUAGCGGCGGACGGGUGAGUAACACGUGGAUAACCUACCUAUAAGACUGGGAUAACUUCGGGAAACCGGAGCUAAUACCGGAUAACAUGUUGAACCGCAUGGUUCAACAGUGAAAGACGGUCUUGCUGUCACUUAUAGAUGGAUCCGCGCCGCAUUAGCUAGUUGGUAAGGUAACGGCUUACCAAGGCAACGAUGCGUAGCCGACCUGAGAGGGUGGUUCGCCACCCUGGAACUGAGAAACCGUCCAGGAUCCUACGGGGGGGCAGAAGUGGGGAUUUUCCGCAAUGGGGCGAAGCCCGGACGGGGCAACCCGCGGGGGGUGAGGAAGGCUUUCGGUUGUAAAACCCUGUUUUUAGGGAAAGACCAAAGUGGUAGGUAAUGAGCACAGCUUGACCGUUACUAAACCAGAAGGCACGGCUAACUACCUG
rnacentral:rRNA from 1 species